UUGGUGCCUUCGGGAACUGUGAGACAGGUGCUGCAUGGCUGUCGUCAGCUCGUGUUGUGAAAUGUUGGGUUAAGUCCCGCAACGAGCGCAACCCUUAUCCUUUGUUGCCAGCGGUCCGGCCGGGAACUCAAAGGAGACUGCCAGUGAUAAACUGGAGGAAGGUGGGGAUGACGUCAAGUCAUCAUGGCCCUUACGACCAGGGCUACACACGUGCUACAAUGGCAUAUACAAAGAGAAGCGACC
rnacentral:rRNA from 3 species